rnacentral:rRNA from 1 species
CCUACGGGAGGCAGCAGUGGGGAAUAUUGGACAAUGGGCGAAAGCCUGAUCCAGCAAUGCCGCGUGAGUGAUGAAGGCCUUAGGGUUGUAAAGCUCUUUUACCCGGGAAGAUAAUGACUGUACCGGGAGAAUAAGCCCCGGCUAACUCCGUGCCAGCAGCCGCGGUAAUACGGAGGGGGCUAGCGUUAUUCGGAAUUACUGGGCGUAAAGCGUACGUAGGCGGUGGUUCAAGUCAGAGGUGAAAGCCCGGAGCUCAACUCCGGAACUGCCUUUGAAACUAGAUCGCUAGAACAUCGGAGAGGUAAGUGGAAUUCCGAGUGUAGAGGUGAAAUUCGUAGAUAUUCGGAAGAACACCAGUGGCGAAGGCGGCUUACUGGACGAUUGUUGACGCUGAGGUACGAAAGCGUGGGGAGCAAACAGGAUUAGAUACCCUGGUAGUCCACGCCGUAAACGAUGAUAACUAGCUGUUGGGCCUCAUAGAGGCUCAGUGGCGCAGCUAACGCAUUAAGUUAUCCGCCUGGGGAGUACGGUCGCAAGAUUAAAACUCAAAGAUAUAGACGNGNGAGAGCGACGACGACGACGACGAGGAGAG